GUAGCUGGGAUUACAGGCGUGCGCCACCACACCCAGCUAAUUUUUGUAUUUGUAUUUUGUAUUUUUAGUAGAUGGGGUUUCACCGUGUUGGCCAGGCUGGCCUUGAACUCCUGACCUUGGCCUCCCACAGUGCUGAGAUUAUAGGCAUGAGCCACCACACCCAGCCAAAAGUCACCUUGUUAAAAUACUUAGUUGAGAUCAAAAGAAAGGGGCUCCCCAGCUGCCAGAAACCAAAGAGAAAUUAGUGCACACAGGCAAGCUAUGGUCCAGGGGCCUACCAGGGUUCCAGUCCCUGAUACAGGCCCAGGGGACCCUAGAAAGACAGGGAGGUGGGACCGAGACCCCUGCCAUAGCCAUUAAGGGGGAUAGAAAAGCUUGAGUGGAGCCCGG
rnacentral:lncRNA from 1 species